rnacentral:rRNA from 1 species
UGUUUGAACCGCAUGGUUCAGACAUAAAAGGUGGCUUCGGCUACCACUUACAGAUGGACCCGCGGCGCAUUAGCUAGUUGGUGAGGUAACGGCUCACCAAGGCGACGAUGCGUAGCCGACCUGAGAGGGUGAUCGGCCACACUGGGACUGAGACACGGCCCAGACUCCUACGGGAGGCAGCAGUAGGGAAUCUUCCGCAAUGGACGAAAGUCUGACGGAGCAACGCCGCGUGAGUGAUGAAGGUUUUCGGAUCGUAAAGCUCUGUUGUUAGGGAAGAACAAGUGCCGUUCAAAUAGGGCGGCACCUUGACGGUACCUAACCAGAAAGCCACGGCUAACUACGUGCCAGCAGCCGCGGUAAUACGUAGGUGGCAAGCGUUGUCCGGAAUUAUUGGGCGUAAAGGGCUCGCAGGCGGUUUCUUAAGUCUGAUGUGAAAGCCCCCGGCUCAACCGGGGAGGGUCAUUGGAAACUGGGGAACUUGAGUGCAGAAGAGGAGAGUGGAAUUCCACGUGUAGCGGUGAAAUGCGUAGAGAUGUGGAGGAACACCAGUGGCGAAGGCGACUCUCUGGUCUGUAACUGACGCUGAGGAGCGAAAGCGUGGGGAGCGAACAGGAUUAGAUACCCUGGUAGUCCACGCCGUAAACGAUGAGUGCUAAGUGUUAGGGGGUUUCCGCCCCUUAGUGCUGCAGCUAACGCAUUAAGCACUCCGCCUGGGGAGUACGGUCGCAAGACUGAAACUCAAAGGAAUUGACGGGGGCCCGCACAAGCGGUGGAGCAUGUGGUUUAAUUCGAAGCAACGCGAAGAACCUUACCAGGUCUUGACAUCCUCUGACAAUCCUAGAGAUAGGACGUCCCCUUCGGGGGCAGAGUGACAGGUGGUGCAUGGUUGUCGUCAGCUCGUGUCGUGAGAUGUUGGGUUAAGUCCCGCAACGAGCGCAACCCUUGAUCUUAGUUGCCAGCAUUCAGUUGGGCACUCUAAGGUGACUGCCGGUGACAAACCGGAGGAAGGUGGGGAUGACGUCAAAUCAUCAUGCCCCUUAUGACCUGGGCUACACACGUGCUACAAUGGACAGAACAAAGGGCAGCGAAACCGCGAGGUUAAGCCAAUCCCACAAAUCUGUUCUCAGUUCGGAUCGCAGUCUGCAACUCGACUGCGUGAAGCUGGAAUCGCUAGUAAUCGCGGAUCAGCA